GAGAUGGAUGGCCCUGCCCCUCGCUGGAUACUGCUGCUGGAGGGCUGGCUCUGCCUCUCAGGGGAAAGCUGCCCCCUGCCCCUGCACUCCGGAAAGAUGGCCCCAUCCCUCAUCACAGGUGUGCAACUCACCAGGGCAGCAUAUUAGAGCUGACCCUGUGGUCAGGGACACAGGUGAGAUGUCCCUGAGGGAGUAAGAGCAACAGAGCUGACACUGUCCCUCCUCAUCUGCCAUGUGGUGGCAUGGGUGAGAGAAAGAUGCCCCUCCCCCCUUCACCCAUCGCCACCCACAGCAGGGUGGCCAGAGACCAACUUUCAGGAGCUGGUUUUCUUCCACUGCGUGGGAUCUGGGAGUUGAACUCAGGUUAUCAGGCUUGGUUGCAGGGAGUCUCGGUAUGAAAGCUUUUCAGAUCAAGGAUAAUUUCAGUGCAGAUUCCAAAGGCCUGAACAUGGGAGACCAACCACGCAAUGAGAAAGUUCUUAAAGAGAAAUGUGAGCUUUGGAACCUAUGAAGUUUUACAUGUACUUUACUUAAACAUGAAUUAUUGAAUGAUAUUUUCAUUUCAUAAAAAUAAAUAUUUCAUGUGGAAAAGUU